rnacentral:sRNA from 1 species
GCUGGGCACAGUGGCGCAUGCCUGUAAUUCCAGCAGCUUGGGAGGCUGAGGCAGGAGGAUGGUGAGUUCGAGGCUAGCCUCAGCAUCUU